GCCUCCCACCUCCUCCUCUUUUGCGUGCUCUGCCAUCAGGCAAUCUGUGAUCCUGCUCCAUUCUAAGCUCUGCCAUGUGUUAGUGCUUUGAUCUUAGACAAACUAACAGCUCCAAAACCUCAAUUUCUUUAUCCAUAAAAUUAUUACUACCUCGGCCGGGCACGGUGGCUUAUGCCUGUAAUCCCAGCACUUUGGGAGGCCGAGGCGGGUGGAUCACUUGAGGUCAGGAGUACCAGACCAGCCUGCCCAACAUCGUGAAACCCCGUGUCUACUAAAAUACAAAAAUUAGCUGGACGUGAUGGUGGUCGCCUGUAAUCCCAGCUAGUCAGGAGGCUGAGGCAGGAGAAUCACUUGAACCCGGGAGGCGGAGGUUGCAGUGAGCCAAGAUUGCGCCAUUGCAUUCCAGCCUGGGCAGCAGAGCAAGACUCCAUCUCAGAAAAAAAAAAAAAAAUAUAUAUAUAUAUAUAUACACACACACACACACACACACACACACACACACACACACAUAUAUACACAUCAAUAUGUAUAUAUAUACAUAUAUGUGUGUGUGUAUAUAUAUACAUAUAUACACGUGUAGAUAUACACGUAUAUAUAUAUAUACAUAUAACCUUAUUUCGGGGUUGUUGAAAGGAUGAAAAUGGCAUCAUGCAUGGAAGGUUAUUUAGCCCAGUACCUAGCAUAAAGAUCUGAAUUGUGCCUCGUUUUAGGAUUAGCAAAACGUGAUUGGCAAAAUCAGAGUCAUAUGGCAAACACCCAGUUGGGUGAGUGAGUCACAGGAAUAGGUGCUUAAUGUUUGUUGGCUUAACAACUUGCAAGCUCUAACAUAAUCUCCGUCCUCUGCUAACAUUAUCUGAUAGCUCAGAUGCUGAAACAUUUCAUUCUUCUUUAAACUCCAUGGCGUUUAUGCGCGUGAGCCGCCACACCUGGGCUGACUCUUUUUUGUAAUUCUUUCACAGAUGUUCCAUCUGUCUAACUAGUUUUCAAGUUCCUUGAGGACAAGGAUAAUGAUAUUAUUACAGCUGACAUUUCUUGAAUGUGGACUAUGAGCUAGCAUUUUCAAUUUAUAAACUCGCUUAACCCGCACCACAGCCUGAUGAGGGAGCUUGCUGUCGUCAUCCCUGAGUUAUGAAUCAGGAAGCAGAGGCCCAGGUUGCCAGCGUGUUACCCGAGGGCACAAGGUUAGUGAGCAGCAGCACUGAAGCACUGCAGCCCAGCCCAGCAGCAAGGUAUGUUGCCGUGUACUGCUUCCUAGGGUGCGGGACUGCACGCCCUCAGGUGAGUAGGAGAGAACUUACUGAUUCCCUGACUGAUAGAAACCCUUAUCUUUGCAGCUACACGUGCUUUUCUAGCAGAUGCCUGGGCUCCUGGACAUAUUGCUCUGAGGCUAUUUGACAGCACUCCUGCCAUCCUCCUGGCCCCCUAAGAUAAAACUUUCUUUAAAGAGCGUCCUAAAAACCAGAUUUACACACAAAAGCCAGGAUGACUCCUAGCAGAUGUUUUGCUACCUGAAGGUUGUUAUGUCAUGUAGAAAAUGAAGGAGGAAAGAAAGAAAAGGAGAAGGAGGGGAGAGGGCAUGUGGGAGAAGGGGAGAGGGCAUGUGGGAGAAGGGGUGAGGACAGUGAACAGACCGGGGAGUACCAGAAAGACCAGCUCUUCCCAAACAGCUUCUGCCAUGAUGCUUGCUUCAUGCUAAAUGACCCACAAACUUCAUUCAUGUGUGGGUUUGCCCUUGUGCCUUCUUGGUCCCCCAAGCAGGGACAGAGUUCUGUUCGGAGAAGCUGGAAUGGACCGAAAGCCAGGGAAGGAGCUGGUGGAAACCCAGGCAGGCCUCCCUCAAGUGGCAUGAUCUCAGGAAAUGGAAAUAUUGUACAAAGAAGCAAGAUGCCUGGCGCCAACUUCCAUGCUGUGCUGAAUGACAAAUCCAAGAUGGUUGGCCAGAACGCUCCACCCUGCAAUGGCAGACUAAACAGUGUUUUCAGUGCAGAUGGAACGUUCAUCAUAUGCUGGGCCAUGAAACUAGUCUCAAUAAAUCCAGCAGGAUUGAAAUCACAUACCGGGCUUCUCCAACAAAAUGCAAUUUAAUUAGAAAUCAGUAACUGAAACUGGAACUCUUCUACACUGCUGGUAAGAAUGUGAAAUGUUACAAUCACUUUGAAAACAGUUGUCAGUUUUUUUAAAUAAUGAAGUCAAACAUAUAAACAAUUGCACUUCUUGGUAUUUACCUAAGAAGAAUGAAAACAUAUGCUCAUACAAAACAUACACAUAAAUGAUUUUAAUCAUCUUUAUAAUUUUCAAAAACUGGAAACAACCAACCAAAUAUUCAUCAAUAGAUAACUUGAUAAACUAACUACAGUUACAAAAAAACAACAACAACAAGGCCAGGUGCAAUGGCUCAUGCCUGUAAUCUCAGCACUUUGAGAGACUGAAGUGCAGCACCACAUGAAGCCAGGAGUUUGAGACCAACCUGAGCAACAUAGUGAAACCCUGUCUCCGCAAAAAAUUAAAUAAAAAAAAUUAGCCAGACGUGGUGGCCCUCACUUGUAGUCCUAGCUACUCAGGCGGCUGAGGCAAGGAAGAGUGCCUGAGCCCAGGAGUUUGAAGCUGCAGUGAGCCAUGAUUGUGCCACUGUACUCCAGCCUGAGAAACAGAGCAAGACCCUGUCUCUGUUUUUUAAAAAAGAAAAGAAUGGAAUAAUACUCAACAAUACAAAUGAGCAAAGUACUAACACAUACAACAUUGAUAAAUCCCUGAAACAUGCUGAAAGGCCAGACAUAAAGAGUAUAUUGUUAUGAUUACAUUUAUAGAAAAUUCUAGAAAAUGUAAAACUAAUCAAUAGUGACACAAAGCAAAUCAGUCAUUCCCUGGUGCCAAGAGUUGGGUUGGGAUUGUUGCAAGGAGAUAUGAAGGAACUUUGGGGGAUGAUGGAAAUGUUCUAUAUCUUGAAUAUGGUGAGAUUAUAUUUGUGAAAACUCAUUGAAAGGUGCACCUAAAAUGGGUGUGCUUAUUUUACGUUAAUUACACUUCAACAAAUUUCUGUUCCAUUGGUCUAUGUGUCUGCUUUUGUACCAGUACCAUGCUGUUUUGGUUACUGUAGCCCUGUAGUAUAGUUUGAAGUUGAGUAAUAUGAUGCCUCCA
rnacentral:lncRNA from 10 species